AUCACGGAAUGGAUGUGAUUAGGUUCACCGAGAAAAAUUUCUUAAGGGUGUAUCCUAAAGGCACUCGUUUUAACUCUUCCAACUACAAGCCACUAAUUGCUUGGAUGCAUGGAGCUCAAAUGGUUGCGUUCAAUAUGCAGGGAUAUGGUAGAGCUCUUUGGCUGAUGCAUGGAAUGUUUAGGGCCAAUGGAGGUUGUGGUUAUGUGAAGAAGCCUGAUUUUCUGAUGAAUGUGAAUGCACAUGGUGAAGCAUUCAAUCCUAAAGCCAAAUUGCCAGUAAAGAAAAAUUUAAAGGUGAAAGUGUAUAUGGGAGAUGGAUGGCAUUUGGAUUU
rnacentral:misc_RNA from 1 species